ACGGCGGGCAGGAAAGCCAUAAAACUGCUACCGUAAUCAGCCGUAGUUGCGCACAGCACGUGUGUAAUGGCGGCUGCCAUGUCUAGGCGAGGCGUACGUGCGUGUUAGUGAAUGAACGAUGUGUUUUUAAGGAACCCGUGGUGUUAGCGCCUGCGCAAUCUGAUUCGUGCAGUAGUAUAUUUGGAUAGUUUUAUCUAUGGAUGCUGUUUUGACUUCAAAACAACGCAAGGCAACUGUUUUACCCCUGUCCUUCACGGCUUUGUGGAUCUAUCAGCGUGCAUCGAUGUGCAGUGUUUUCCCCGGCGCCAAUUUACCAUUUCGAGGUAAUUAUACUUCUUAUUUAUGCUUCUUUAGUACAGUAUGAAGUGUUUUCUUUUUUUUUUUAUCCUGAUGGUGGACGUAAGUACUUCUGUACAGUGCCGUCGGGCCGAUUAGUGUGCGCGUUGCAGCAAUGACAUGCCUGUUUCCGACAACGCUGUGCAAGAUUUCUGUCUAGAGUUCCUUAUAUCUGCCUACUGUUUCGAUGGAACACACAUCUUAUGUUGAUUUUGUGUGCUUUAGAAUUGUCCUGUCGUGUCACGUGGCGUCAUUUUUUAUUAUGAUAAACAUUUUGAGCUAGCAUAUAUCACACUGUCCUAAAAUUAUUUUGGUAAUUGCGAAGCCACAUUAUUCUAAUGUGGAAGCAAAUAUUGCCAGCUAAAACGUUUAGUGGUAGGACUAGCACCCCUGUUUUUAACUGCUUCUAUAUGUGUGUAUUUUUGUGUCCAGGUUUUUUAAACCACUUCCAAAAAAGGACGUCCUUUGGUCGAAGUCAACGAAAAGCAAGAUUCUGACAAAUCAAGAUUGCUGACCUGACGAAGAUCUCGAAAGAGGAAUUUGUAAAAAUACAUGCUGUGCUAAUAAAUGCUUUUAGCAAUUUUA